rnacentral:lncRNA from 1 species
GCUCUGUGAGGUCUCUCAGCCUGCAUGUGCCUCCAUUUUGAGUACUUAGAGUAGAAAAGGGCAGAGUUUUAGCAGUAAGUAGAGGUGAGGAAUCCAGCUAGACUCACGAGAGCCUCUGUUAGUCAUGGAUGACCCAUUCAGCCCCUGCAGGAGGCUGAAUAGUACCCAAGGAGAAAUUCGAGUUGGCCCUAGCCAUCAGGCCAAACUUCCAGAUUUGCAGCCAUUUCCUUCUCCAGAUGGUGACACUGUGACUCAGCAUGAGGAACUUGUCUGGAUGCCUGGAGUCAGUGACUGUGACCUCCUCAUGUACUUGAGGGCAGCAAGG